UUCCUCUGUGUUAUAGGGCAGUUUUGGGCAGGUGCAGAGUUCAAGGCUCUGCCAGAGCCAGUGCUCAUAGGGAUUUACUGUAGGAGAGGUGCUUAUUAUAGCCUGUAAUCCCUCCUGAGGCAACUCCCUCCUUGGAGUCAGCUGCAAGAUCUGGCUGUUACUUAUCACUUAUAAAGAUUUUUAAAGCUUUCUUGCAAAACAAAAGAUAUAUUUCUGGCUUGAGCAAUAAGGGAUCAGGGGAAAGCCAGGAGAUCAAAGGUCAAGCAAGAGGAGCUUGUGAAACCACACUGGAGCAGAACUGCAGGUUGUAGUCAGCCAGGAGCUUGUACUGCAAUUGACAGGGCUAUUCACGGAAAGGGUUUUGAUUAGAGUUGCCAUGACAAUGGGAAACACCUAAAAAAGAUCUAUGAAAUGUUAAAUCGGUGUCAAGCCAAGAAGUUAAGCCAAAUCCUUCGCUCUGGUUAUUCCUGUGAGUCAGUGGCUUUCAUCACAGCAUUGCUAAGAGAAGGAUUUGCUCGUCUGAUUUUGAAGAUUUGGGAAAACAGGCACUGACUCAGGGGGAGAUCCUGGCAAGAAGAAAGGCAUUUCACACUGCCCUGGGAACCACGAGUCAACCUGGGGAUAUCCUGAUUUUCUGUGUCAGGAGGAGCACUAAGGAAGACACUGCUGCUGACCACAAACACUGACUGCCAAGCCUAAGGGUAUGUCACUGUCCAAUGCAUGGUGCCAAGUGAAACGUGGGUGUUUUUCCUGUUUUCACUUUACAAUAUAGAGAAUCAACAAGGUCCAUAAGGCAUGGAUCAGGGUACUUCAGUCAGGACCCAAGGAACAGCACAGUGAUGGAUAAAAACUCACCCCAUUGCGCCAGAGCAAUGCUGUAAUGAACCCUCUUCAUGGGAAAUGUUGACAUCCAGCUCUGACUCCAAGGGCAUCUGGAAUUAAAGAGCAGUAGCAAAAUGACUGCAAUCAUUAAUUCUUUGGGAUGAGAACCUUUCACACAGUUGUGAAGAAGCCAUCAUCAACACGGACUCUGGUGCACAUGCACACACACAGGGCAUAUGUACACACAGAGAGAUCAGUGGAUUGCAUAUGGUGCACAUGGCAUAAUUCAUGACUCUUCCUGAAGGCUGUCACAAAUCUGAGAAGUAUUGGUUAAGAAGAGCACUGGGGUAGUCUUUUAAUUAGUCCACAGCUCAGCUGCACUGUAAAAUUUACUCUCUGAUAUUGCAUCCAAAAUUUAUAACUUUUUAAAUCAAAAGAACAUCUCAGAGUCUGUGUUUUUGCUAAUCGGAGGUGUUAAUGACAAAAGCACAAGCCCAGAGAAGUGACACGUUAGGCAAUUGCUCAUAAUAUUAAGAAAUGUUUCUCAGGACAUGGUGUUAUCCUAUAAAAAUUAAUUUGUAAAUAUA